AGCGAACGCUGGCGGCAGGCUUAACACAUGCAAGUCGAACGGGCACUUCGGUGCUAGUGGCAGACGGGUGAGUAACACGCGGGAACGUACCUUUCGGUUCGGAAUAAUUCAGGGAAACUUGGACUAAUACCGGAUACGCCCUUCGGGGGAAAGAUUCAUCGCCGAUAGAUCGGCCCGCGUCUGAUUAGCUAGUUGGUGAGGUAAUGGCUCACCAAGGCGACGAUCAGUAGCUGGUCUGAGAGGAUGAUCAGCCACAUUGGGACUGAGACACGGCCCAAACUCCUACGGGGGGCAGCAGUGGGGAAUAUUGGACAAUGGGCGCAAGCCUGAUCCAGCCAUGCCGCGUGAGUGAUGAAGGCCUUAGGGUUGUAAAGCUCUUUUGUCCGGGAAGAUAAUGACUGUACCGGAAGAAUAAGCCCCGGCUAACUUCGUGCCAGCCGCCGCGGUAAUAC
rnacentral:rRNA from 1 species